ensembl:lncRNA
UACCGACGCCAGUGGCAGUGCGGCUGAGGAUGAGAACGGUAGGAGCCCCCAGGGCAGUGCUUGGCUGGGUGGGAGCAGGUGUACAAACUCCCUUCUGGACACAGCUGGACUAUAUUUCCCAGUAUGCCUUGCAGCAGACCUGACCUGGAAGGAGUUCUACCAAGGGCGGGGAAGCGAGGCCCUGGGAACCACUGUCCGGCCAGGCUCCCUGAGCCUCUGGCUCCUGUAAGCCAGAUCUCCAGGCCCAGGCAGGGUCUGAGGGCUGUGGGGUGCAGGACCAGCCCUCCCCUCAGGCUUGUUUCUGAGCUGCCCCACAGUGUGGUGUCGGUCACAGUACCUGACACACCAGCCCCUGGAAAACACAAGCACCCCGCUCCACCUGGAACUACUGCAGUGCUUCAGACAGAGCAGGGCUUCUGUGUUGGACAAACAGGAGAAGAUGCUGACUUCUUAAUGGGACUCAGUGGAAACUUGCAGUGUGACCCCUCCGUCUUUCCAAGUUGCAUCCCAUGUCAGAGGCCAGCACUUAGCCCACCGCAGUGAGCACCUGGAGCCACACAGUGGCCGGGCUUGAGAGGCAGGGAAGGCUGGGGUUCUGGGGAUGCGGCCCCAGGGAAGCAGGCCACACUCACGGUGCCCCUGGGAGCUGUAAGCGGGUGACCGCAUGGCCCUUCCUCUCUCUCCCUCCCUCUGUGCAAUACCUCUCCCUUUUCUGACAGCGUCUUACUUAUGCUCUGACUCCGACACCCAGUUGUCCCAUUUGUGAAGGAGGGAGGCGGGGAGCAGGUUGGUAGUGACCUUGCGAUUGUUCACAAAGACACAACCUGGACGAUGCCAGGGUGAGCAUGUCCACCCUGCAGGCUGCCCGUGCCUUGGCCCGCUCCCUGGGAGCCAUUCUGGAAGGUGGUUCCUGAGUCGUGGGCAAAGAACGCCCAGUGCAGAGUGACGCCCUUCCCCACUGCUGUGUGACGGGCCUGGCCCAGAGCAGAGCUGCCGUGUGAGCCUGGCAUCACCUCACCACGCUGGCCCAGCGGGCAAGGACCUUGCACUUUCGAGGCAGGCGGUGGAACCACUGAGCUACAUUCCCAGCUCAGGAAUUUGUCUUCCUUUCUGAGGCGUCUCCACACUGAUCUCUGCAGUGUUGUACCGCGUACUCCCCCACCCGUGGGGAAGGCCCCUCGCCAGCGCUUGUUACUGCUGGGUUUCUUGAAGAUGGCCCUGCCCUCUGGGGAUGGUGGGACUCGGUGCUGCUUUAAUUUAAUCCCUUAUUCUCAGCGUUGCUGUUUACUCCUUCAAGUCCUGAACUCACACAGGUAGUUUCAAAGUUGCCAACCUUUGUGCCAUGAAAAGAAAACCUACUGGAGUUGAAGCUCAGCACUUUUCCUUUUGGGGAGAGGUGGGCAGGCAGGGAGAGGCGGGGCUGAGUGAGUCUGUGGCACAGAUGCCCACACCGCCCACCGGGCCUCCGCUCUUCGGCCCUGCCACGAAGCCCUGCGUCUGCGUUUCCAGCCCUCCCUGCUGUCGGGCUCAGCCAGGGAGCUGUUGGCAGCCCCUUUAUCAGGAGGUGGGAAUGCCUGGGGCCCAGGCAAUGGGACAUCAAAUGUCCUUGACGGAGAAAGGGUAAUUUCAUCCAGGUUCCUCAAACACUCGGAAUGGAGCCAGCGUGUGACGCUGCAGUUGGCUUCUGGGUGCUCACAUCCAAGGCUGCGGAGCUGGUGUGGCAAGGAGACACCUACACGCCACGUUCACCACAGCUGAGAAAAACAGUGCACCCAGGCAUGCCCCACCAAUGAGCGUGUGAAGGGACAGUGGACGCGCAUGGCAGCAUGCCGUGAGCCUCACAGAAGAGGGAAACAUGUCCUUUCUGACACACAGGGUCUCGCUAACUUGCUCAGUUGCCCAAGCUGGGCUCAAACUUGCCAUCCUCCUGCCUCUGCCUCCCAGUGCUGGGAUGACAGGCGUGCACCACCACACUUAGUUCCUGCUCUAACUUUUCAACAAAAUCCAUUACACUGUGUAGGAAAAGGUAAAAGAAAACUACGCGAUGGCUUUCUGGAUCUUUGUGUUCUAAACGCUGCCCUAACUUCUUGGAGAAGGCUUGUCGGUCAGUCGGGACUCAAGAAAGCCCUGGGCCUCCCAGGAGGCGCCGCCCCUCCUCGGCCCCAUGCACUGGCCUUGGGAACCCUUCGGGUUGCCCAGACGCGAGGAUGGGGCUCCUCCUCCUCCACAGGCCCAGCACUGCCUCUGCUGAGGGUAGAUUUGUUGGAUUCAUAUGCUUGUAGAAAGCAUAGAGAUACAAGUUUAGAAGGAGAAGCAGUCACAGUGGGAACAAGGAGAGAAGCGAGGAGAGAGGCCGCUUCCUUGCUGGAGCCGGAGCUCGAGGGCCUUGGUUCCCAGCGCCUCUCCCCGAGAGUUACACCUGCAUCAGCUGCUCUAGGCUCAGACCCUGCCUUGGCCGUGGACCCUCCCUGCCCUUGCACUCUCCCUCUCUCCGUGAGAUUUGUGACGGGGCCUCAGGCUGACGGCCAAGUUAGCAAGUAUUAAGAGGUACGUGCGCAUGUCAGUGCAUUCACAUGCUGAGAGAAUAAUAAAAUACAGGGCCGGGAUUUAGCUCAGUGGUCAUGCCUGCCUUGCAAGCACAAGGUCCCCAGUUCGAUCCCCGGUACCCAAAGAAACCAACAACAUACCUGCAUUUAUACACAGGUGCCUGAGCAACCAGGCACAAAUGUACAGCUGCCCCCGAAGUGUGUUUCUGCAAUUCAGCCUGUCCACUGCGGCCCCUCUGCACCUGGCUGGAGCCCAGAGGAGGACCUGGGCCUGCCGACACCCUGCUCAUGCUCCGCCUGUCCUGCUCCCUCCAGGUCAGGGUUUGCCGAGUCCUUCCCUUCCCUGCCCUGACCCCUGCCCUGACAAAGCCCUCCCGACGGAUGCAGGUGCCGGUAGAUAAAGGACAGGGACUGACGAUGUCUUACUGCAUCUGUGCACAUUUUAGUCAGUUCACCAAGCACCUCCCAGGCCGCAGGGCCCAGCGGGGCUGCGCUCCUGCCUGGCCCUACUGGUCCCAGUCCUUGACGAUGCUCAGGACGCCCCGCUCAGGGGCGGGGCCUGCCAGCCUGGCCAGCACGUCCAGCCCUCCGUGCUCCUUCUCCCUGGAGGACACAAAGUGGGCAGCUCCUGCACCCCGGACCCCGGGGCGCCCGCCCGUGUCCCCGUCCCUGUCCCCGUGGCCUGCGCAGCUCCCGGAUCUGUGGCAGGCCAGGCCGAUUGGGACCGCAGGGCAGGAGCCCGGGCACCGCUUACCGGAGGACAACGUUGCAUGCCUGGCGGUGGCCGCUGACCAAGGCCUGCUGGCCCCGCUCCCCAACAUCGUUCCCGCUCACGUCCAGGUGCCUCAGCUCCAGGUUGGUGCCCGGCACAGCCGCCAGGGCAAGGCAGCCAGCAGAGGCGCUCUCACUCCAGGACAUGCAGGUGGCAGCUGGGGCACGCCAGGGCCUCGCACAGAGUGGCGGCGCCGUCAUCCCCGAGGUCAUUGAGGCUGAGGUCCAGGCUUUGGAGGGCGCUGCUGCUCUCGAGAGCUGAGGCCACGUCCUGACAGCAAGCCGAGUGAGACCGAGGACUCAUGUGCUGACUCUGUCUUCCACCACUUGAGGAACAGCCAAGAACGUCUUCUGAAGUGCCAGCACCUUCUCCUGCUUCUCCGGGGAAAGCUCAAAGUGUCAGUGCUUCCUCAGCAGGCAUGGGCGCGUGACCCAGAGGCCCACACCUGCAGACUCCGGCGACUUUUCCUCUCGGAGACACAUCGUCAUCGGCCUCACACUUGCCAUCCUCCUGCCUCAGCCUCCCAGAGUGCUGGGGUCACAGGCGUGCACCACCAUGCCUGGCUCCGUAUUUAAUUCUGUGCUGAACUUCCUCCCGUGACAGCCAAGUGAGACCUCCCCAGGAGGAAGGCAGCGUGACCUGGACACUGACCCUGAGCCCCCGCCCGGCUCUUGUGAUGAGCAGAUGUCGCCGUCCUGCGCAUCUGCAGGGCCCUGGGUGCCUGGGCCCCGCUAACCUGCCUCUUCAGUGGAAAUAACACCCUUUUCCUGACUGCUGUCCCCUGGCACAAGCAUGGCUCCAAUAGGCCUCUGUGGGUCACACGUGUGCCACAGACUAGAACACGAAGCAGGUGUGCUCGGCACUGCUCCCCGCACGCCGAGCCUCAAGGGGAGGCACCUGGGGACUCACACCAGCCUCUGGAGGGGCAGCGCCGCGCUUGCCAGGCUCUCCCAGAUGUGCCUCGCCCCUUCAUCCUUCAGGGCAUUGCCCGCCAGGCUCAGGUGCGUCAGCGUCCGGCUGCUCCCCAGGGAGACGGCCACGCCCGGGCAGGCCAGCUUCAUGAGCCCGCAGCUCUCCAGCCUGGGGACAGAGACUCGAGGUGAGCUGCGGACAGGUGGCCGGGUG